rnacentral:rRNA from 1 species
GAUCCUGGCUCAGGAUGAACGCUGGCGGCGUGCUUAACACAUGCAAGUCGAACGAAGCGCUUAAGAUUGAUUCUUCGGAUGAAGUCUUUUGUGACUGAGUGGCGGACGGGUGAGUAACGCGUGGGUAACCUGCCUCAUACAGGGGGAUAACAGUUAGAAAUGACUGCUAAUACCGCAUAAGCGCACGGUGUCGCAUGACACAGUGUGAAAAACUCCGGUGGUAUGAGAUGGACCCG